CGCACCUCUGCUUCAGCUUUCAGGUAGACUAUAAAUUUUUAUACUUAUUUCUACGUUUGUUGUUCGUUUGCUUGCCCUUUAUAGCUAAAAAUGUUUCAGCCUUAUUUGCUUUCUGGCUUCUUCGGCGGCAACCAAAUAGAGCUUUAUUCCAUAAUUUAAUGAAUGAUUUAUCUGGGUUUUCUCGGUAACCGAACUAGAAUCAAUGUUCUGUUGGUUUCAAUUUUUUCUCUGGGAAACGCUGAAGUGCAGAUUUUCAUUCUGGGUGGGCAGGGAGAGAAGAGAAUAGUAAUG
rnacentral:misc_RNA from 1 species